rnacentral:rRNA from 1 species
UACGUAGGUGGCAAGCGUUAUCCGGAUUUACUGGGUGUAAAGGGCGUGUAGGCGGGAAAGCAAGUCAGAUGUGAAAACCAUGGGCUCAACCUGUGGCCUGCAUUUGAAACUGUUUUUCUUGAGUACUGGAGAGGCAGGCGGAAUUCCUAGUGUAGCGGUGAAAUGCGUAGAUAUUAGGAGGAACACCAGUGGCGAAGGCGGUCUGCUGGACAGCAACUGACGCUGAGGCGCGAAAGCGUGGGGAGCAAACAGG